ACCUCCACAAUGAUAAAGGGCGGGAAGUGUUGAAUUAAGCGGGCGUCUUUUUUUUGGCUAAACUUUUGAAAAUUAAAUUAAUUUAAUAUUACAGGAUCAGUUAAGUUGUAAAGUGUAUAUAUAUUAGUAGUAUUGAUUAUUUAUAGUUUUAGUUUGUUUUCUUCGCCUGGUAAGUCAUCUUAUUGUAUUAUAUGUAAAUAGUAUUUUUUUCUUGGCCUCCAUGUUGGAGCCCGAAGACCCUGGAGGGACAUCCCUCCAGGUGUCUCAUGUAGUUACAAUAGAUGCUUCGGGAAUGGAAACGGAAGGUUCCAUUAUAGAUACAGACUGUUCGGAAAACAUUAAAUCCGUUAAAAGAAAGAGAAUAUCAACUAGAAACCAAAAAAAGAGAAGGAAUCACAAACAUACAGAUCUACCAGAUUGCCAACUUUCCCCUAAUGAUAUAAAGGAUAAUGUUAUACCUAAAGUACUUGAGUCAGAUGAUAAAAUCACUGAAAUCCAUCAUAAUGAGGUUGCUAACUCUAAAAACAUUACGAGUAACCCUCGCACUGCUAGGCUGCUUUACCAGGCGUCAGACCCUGCGCCUUAUGAUGUACAUAUUCAAAAAAUUUUACAACCUAAUCAAACUGGAUCUAUACAUCCAGUACAAUUUGGAUUCUUUCUAAAAAAAAAUUCAAUAAAAAGCAUUGUAGAGGGAAGCAUAAAAAAAAUUGGAAGGAAUAGGUUGUCAUUUCAAUUUAAAACAUUUCAGGAGGCUAACUCAUUUCUAAAUCACAAAUCUCUUGAUGAUAAUAAAUAUAAAGCUUUUAUUCCGGCCUUCACUAUCACCCGCAUGGGAAUAGUGAGAGGUGUUCCAUGUGACUGGGACGAGAAAGAUGUUAUAGAAAAUAUAGAGCUUCCGCAGAACUGUGGAAGCAUUCUGAAAGUUAGGAGACUAAACAGAAAGGUUUAUGACGGCGAGACACCCAAGUUUGUUCCAACUGAGACCGUAGUUUUGACCUUUGAUGGGAAGGUGUUACCUCCCAGGGUCUUUAUGUGUUUUAACUCCCUACCUGUAGAGCUUUAUAUUUACCCCACGCUGCAAUGCUUUAAUUGCUGCCGUUUUGGUCACACCAAAAUGCAAUGCAGAGGCACUCCAAGGUGUUACAAAUGUGGUGACAAUCAUUCAGGUAUAAGUUGCGAGACGGAAAGAGAUGAUGCUGUGUGUAUUUUAUGUUCUGGUUCCCAUUUCGCAACAGACAAAAAAUGCCCGGAGUAUGCUAGGCAGAAAGCUAUAAAAGAAACAAUGGCUAGAAACUCUAUAUCCUAUUCAGAAGCAAGUAAAGUCUAUCCACCAGUUUCAAAAUCUUAUGCUGACAUUGUUGCUUCUGCUUCAUCAGCCCCUUCGGGUCCAACUAUGACUUAUUCAAGCCCCUAUAAUUUAACAAGCCCUUUUAAGAGUCCGACUCAAUCAUAUAAGAAAACAGUAUUCUUGAAACCCAAAGCUCGUCCCAGAAAUUCUAGUAAGGGAUAUGAUCAAAAAGCGCAUGCAGAGCUUAUCCAAGAUUACAGCAACAUUCCUUCCUUUUCUACAGGUUGUCUCAAAAAUUACAAUGAUUUGUCAGAAAUAAUAACAAAGGAUCUCAUCAUUUCUAUAAUUCAGUACCUUUCACAAUCGAACAUAAUUAAAAUACCGUCCAACGAUGCCGUUUCUUCAAAAACUUUUUUAACUAAUGGACAGUCAGGACCAUCCACGAAACCAGUCUCUGGUGAUUCAAUGGAAUUGCCGGAGUAUUAAUAGUAAAAAAAGUGACUUAAUUUUUUUAUUGAAUAGUUACAAACCAUUUGCAGUCUCUCUUCAAGAGACUUGGCUUCGUCCUGGAUUCAAUUUUAGAAUUCCAGGACAUGUCUGUCUUAGAGAAGACAGAACAGAUGGGUAUGGUGGAGUGGCACUAAUUCUUAGGGGAGGUGUGCCCUUUGUCCACUUACCCAUCCCUAAUCACAGUGAUAAAUUUUCUAUUAUUGCUGCUAGUGUAAAUAAUAUCUGUUUUGUAAAUAUGUAUAUACCUCACCCUUCCAAUGAAGUCUUUGACGAUAUUCGUAGCAUCCUAUCUUCCCUCCCGCGCCCUAUUUUGGUUAUGGGAGAUUUCAAUGCACAACAUUCUAUGUGGGGAAGUUCUAAGUCUGAUCAUUAUGGGGCUAGAAUCUUAGACAUCUUAGAUGAUAAUAAUUUAUGUCUUUUAAACUCUGGUUGUCCUACUAGAAGAACACAGCCCCAUGAGGGUAUUAGUGCACCAGAUCUUACCCUUUGUAGUCCCUCACUUGCUCCUACAUUAAACUGGUGGCCUCUAUCGUCUUCAUAUGGAAGCGAUCACUUUCCACUAAUGGUAUCAUUUCCUCAAAAAAUUUGUGAAAAGACAUCAAAGGCCCCUCCCCGGCUAAAAUAUAGACUUAAGGAUGCCAACUGGUCAUUAUUUGGAGAUAAAGUUCAACAAAAUUUAUCAACCAUACCUCCACUAAAUGACAGCAGUAAUCAUCUUUGUGCUGAAGCUUUUACACGGGCCCUACUACAAGCUGCUGAGGAAGUUUUUCAUAUAAAAAACAAUAGUGGAAAUGGGUAUAUUCCAUCACCUCCUUGGUGGGACAGUGAGUGUUCUGCUGCGAUAGCUGAGAGAAAGAUAGCUGAAGAAAAUUACAGAGAAAAUUCUACAACACAAAAUUUUAAUAUUCUUAGUAAUCUUAUAACUAAAACUCGUAAAUUAUUAAAACAAAAAAGAUUCAAUAGCUGGAAAUCUUUUUGUGCCUCAAUUUCACCAGAAAUUUCUCCAUCUCAAGUUUGGCAAAAUAUUCGUAGAUUCAGAUCCGCUUUCAAACCUCCAAGGUCUCCUUUCAUGGAUAGUAGUACAGUUGAUUUGUUUCUUGACAAAUUAGCUCCACCAUUUGUCCCGUCUAUAGAUAAUAUUUCUUCUGACUCACAGCCUUCUCUCCUCUCCCAGCAUGAUAGUAGCGAUUCAUUCAUUUCCUUUAGCCUUUCAGAACUCAAAGGGGUUCUUUCAAGGCUUAGGGACUCAGCCCCGGGUUGUGAUGGAAUUCCAUAUUCUUUUCUUCAAAACCUGAACGACUCCUGCCUUUCUUAUUUUCUCAGUUUAAUUAAUUCAAUCUUAACAUCAGGUAAUAUUCCUCCAUCAUGGAAAAUCCAUGAAGUUAUCCCAAUACAUAAGCCCAACAAACCCAUUAAUGAUCCAUCAUCAUACAGACCAAUUGCAUUAGCUUCAGUGAUUUCCAAAAUUUGCGAACAUCUAGUUAAAAAUAGACUAGAAUGGUUUAUUGAGAGUAAAGGGUUACUAUCUCCUAACCAGUUUGGAUUUAGGAAAGGUAGGAGUACGAUGGAUAGUCUCAGCAUUUUUAUGACAGACAUAAGAUUGGCAUUUUCAUACAAUAAGUCUGUGUUAGCAGCAUUCUUAGAUGUGUCUGCAGCCUAUGAUAAUGUCAACCUUUCGGUUCUGAAACAAAAAAUGAUUAAUUUGAAUAUCCCACAAAUUUUCAUAAGUUUCAUAAUCAAUCUUCUCUCUGGUAGAAUGCUUAAAGUAAUAUCAGAAGACUCUUAUCAAUCCCGUAUUGUCUGGAAAGGUUUACCCCAGGGCUCCGUUUUAAGUCCCUUACUUUACAAUAUAUAUUCUCAUGAUCUGGAAGCCUCCCUUAGGGGUAAAGUUAACACACUCCAAUAUGCAGAUGAUUUACUCCUCUAUGUCUCUGGUGAUUCUAUUGACAACAUGUCUGAUACUGUCACAUAUUCUCUUAAGUUGCUAAAAGUUUGGCUUGACAAUAACUCUCUAAGCCUUUCAGUUCCUAAAAGUAUUAUAGUCUUAUUUUCACGUAUGAGGCUUCCUCCAUCAGUGUCUGUAUUUUAUAAUAACAUUAGAGUUCCUGUUAAAAGUGAAGCAACAUUUCUUGGGGUAAUUUUAGACUCAAGACUUACAGGAAGCCCUCAUUGCUACUAUAUAAGUGAUAAAUGUGAGAAGAUUCUAAAUAUAUUGCGUUGCCUCUCUGGAGUUUGGUGGGGAGCCCACCCUUUCUCUCUAAAGCUUUUGUAUAAUGCCCUAAUAAGGAGUAUUUUGGACUAUGGAACAUUUAUACUUGAACCCUGUAAUGCAGUAGCUCUCCAUAAGUUAGACAUUAUCCAGUCUAAGGCUCUGAGAAUAAUUGCUGGGGCUAUGCGUUCGAGCCCUAUUAACGCUUUGCAGGUCGAAUGUUCUGAAGCCCCCCUGCACCUCAGACGACAAUUUCUUUGUGACCGGUUUCUAUUUAGAGCAUUCCAAGUUUAUAAUCAUCCUCUUUACACUAAGUUACGGUCUCUGCUGGAAUGUAUGGAUUAUCCGUACUGGGCUCAUAAAUCGCCGCCAUGCCUUAUUGUUAGUCUCCAAAAGUACUUAGCUCUUCAAGCUCCUACACAUAGAUCACAAUUCCUUCCAAUAUUUUGUGUUAACUAUGAUGCCCUAACUUUAAAUCCAUCUAUUAUGUUUGAUUUCGGCCUAAGUAAACAAGAUCUUUCUAUCAAUGCCAAAUUUGUUGAUAUUAUUGACAGUGACAGCCGAUGGAAAAAUUGUCAUUUAAUUUUUAGCGAUUCCUCCAAACCCGGUCCCGAGGAGUGUGUGGGGGUCGGCAUUUUCCAUCAACAGUUUGGCAUUGUUCAGAAAAUAAAAUUGCCUCCAGAGACUUCAGUAUUUACUGGAGAAUGUUUUGGUCUUCUGAAGUCUCUGGAGUACAUUUUAAUGAUGAAGCUUAAAAAGUCAAUAAUUUUAACUGACGCUAAAAGUGCCCUCCAAGCCUUGGAACGUUUUCCUUUUAACAGUAACCGAAAUAAUCAUCCUGUGAUUAUUGCAUGUCGUGAUUUAUUGUAUCAAUGUUGCAUCAAAAAUUACACAGUUUCCUUUGCUUGGAUUCCGGGGCACUCGGGUAUCUUUGGCAAUGCCAAGGCCGAUAGCCUUGCCAAAGCUGCGGUCAAUGAUGGAGAUUUGGUUCCGUACAAAAACUUUUGUUGUGAUUUAGCUCUGCUUCCUAAAUUCCAGUUAUUGAAUUCUUGGACUCACAUUUGGCGUUCUUCAAGACAGACUAAAGGUCGAUAUUACAGCACGAUCCAAGUGGAUAUACCUCCUAAACCGUGGUUUUCAAAUCUGACGUUUGGUAAAGCUAUCACAUCGACCCUUAUUCGCAUGAGGCUGGGCCAUGCAUGCAUUCCCUUGCAUUUGGCAAGGCUUAACCUUUUGCCUAGCGAUAUAUGUGAGUGUGGCAAUGACGUUGGGGAUUUUAAUCAUAUAUUCUUUGCCUGUCCUCGAAAUGACCGUUCCGCUUUUAUUUCCUCACUUUUGUCCAUUAAAAUUCCUUUUCCUACUUCAAUUUCUAUCCUUUUAUCUAAUAUCAAUAUUGAUGUAUAUAGAAUAUUAGCUAGUUUCAUUUUUCAUAAUAAUAUAAAAUUGUAACCAUUUAUGUACUUAGUUUAUAUAAUAUAUAUACCUGAUCCUUUUUCCAAAUUCCGUUCCAAAUUCAAAUCCAAAAAAUAAAUCCAUUAACACACUUCCUAACCUUUUUGCGUGGCUGACGCACAAACCGUGCAGGCCAAGAAAUGGGAGAAAAAAAAAAAAAAAAACCUCCACAAUAUAAAUACCUAAAACAAUAAUUUACAAUUACAAAAAAACGGCCGCUAAAUAAGAAAACAUCUAUAAACCAGUAGUCAUCUCACACGACAACAAAUAUUCUGUCAAAAACAUUGAAACGAGAACAAGUUUCCUUUGUUUAGUAAUGGUUUUUUCCACAUUAUUUGUAUAUUUUCCUCAAUCCUACGAUGCAACCACUCAUUUCUGUUGAUCACGAGUUCAGGCAGAAUAAUUCACACAGGGCCGAUAGUUCAGACAUAAGACAAUCUGAAGAGACUCCACUCUUGCACACAUUCCCUCGAGAGACGUCGCCUGAGGAAAACAACUGGACUAGCUUAACCGUGAGCUUGCUGCUGGUGAUACUAAUAUCUGGUAUUAUAAUAGGCGUUUAUCUUCUGAUAAUACAAAGCGAUUCUGAGAAUGUCCUGCCUCCGGUCGAAAUGCCACUGCAAUUCGUCAGCAGACUUCAAUGGGAUACCUUACGCAAACGACCGGUCCUGUCGUCGUCUUCUUUCAGAGCGAAAUCUGUAGUGGCAGUUCAAACCGAUUCAAUACUCUGCUGGGCCACUGAGUCCUGUUUUGAUUUGCUACAACAUAUGCAGGAAAACGACACAAGCAACAAUACGAUGGCCUAUAAUUUUCUUAUAUCGUCGAACGGUCAAACCUAUGAAUCGCUUGGGUGGCACGUUCCAUCACCUAUGUUCCCCAAGUAUUCUAACUCAAGCCUAGUCUUCGGUUUCAUUGGGAAUUUCACAGAUAUGGCACCAUCGAGCUAUCAAAUCGACGGAGCAGAAAAGCUUUUAGCCGUUUCGGUGAGCCAGCAAUACUUAGAACCAAACUAUGUACUUGUUGGAAGAAAAACGAAAGAGAGACCCGUUUAUUUAUUUUCAAUCCUGAAAAAAUUUCCGCAAUGGGACGAGGAUAAUUCUGAUUGAAUAAUAAAUACAACAUUCAAAUUUCAUUAUAUUGCUCGUUUGAUCUUUAAUACCAAAGUUUUAUAAUACUGGAUUUAGUAUAAAUAUUCGAAUUUAGUUAUAGAAAGCUAUCGUUUUAAUGUAGUCAUACAAUAUGUUAAGAUUUUAAAUACAUAAAAUGGCGUGUGUUCGUAAAUAAAACACUAGAGCUUUAUAACAUGUUUAGAGAAAAAUAUUAUAUGAAAUAAAUUGUAAUUAAUGCAUACCUAGUCAGGUCAUACAUUCUGUCACAUGUUUAAUGUAAAAUAAUUGAAACAAGUUUAUUCAUUAUGUAACCAUUCAUAUACCAAAAUGAACUUAACAAAACAUAGAUUCUUAUGACACUAAAGUUUUUUAAAAAGGACCUCCGUGAUUUUGAAUACAGGCCUUCAAUCUGCGCGGCCAGUCGUCUAUCGCAGCACGAACGAGGUCCAUGUCAAUAUCGGCGGCUGCCUUAAUCAAGGGUGUCUUGAGUGACUCCAAAUUGGGAUGAGGCUUUGAGCACGCCUUUUCCUCCAAGUGUUGCCAUAUCUUGUAAUCUAACGGAUUCAAAUCUGGACUGGAGGAGGGCCAGUCUUCGUGCCGGAUGAAGUCGAUUUCACGCGCCGCCAGCCAGUCUUGUGUGCUCUUCGCUCUAUGAGCUGGCGCCGAAUCUUGUUGGAAUACCCAGUGCCUGUUAUUGAACAUGGUAUGAGAAACAGGUUCCACAAGAUUCGUCAGGACUGUAUUUUGAUACACAACUGCAUUCGUUUUUACACCUUUCUCACAAAAAUGUACCUCUGUUAAGCCCCAAUAAGAAACUCCCAACCAUACCAUGAGCGAGGAUGGAAAAUGACCUCGUUGGACACGCGGAAUACGGUUGCUCGCUUCUUCAUUACUGUGUGCGUACACCUUAUCAUUUUGUUUGUUGUAGCUCUCUUCUACGGUAAAAAUUUUUUCAUCCGAAAAAAGAAUUUCCCGAUAUUUUUUUCCCGCGUACCGUUUCAACAAAGCGCGGCAUCUCUUCAGUCUCAGGUCCAUUAGACGAGCAUUCAAACGAUGUCCUGUUUUUCUUCGAUAUGCCCGAAGCCCUAAGUUUUCAUUUAACACCCUUUUCAACGUGGUUCUGCUUAACCCCAUCUGAAGGGCCAACAGUUUCUGCUUACGUUUGGGAUUUCUUUGAAUUCGCGCCUUCACAGCUUUUAUCACUGCCGGAGUCCUAACAGACCGAGGGCGACCACUUCUUGACCUGUCAUCUACACUAGAGUCUUCAUUGUAUCGUUUGAUGGUACGAUAAACGAAUCUUUUCGUUAUAUUCAAAUUUUUCAGUAUGUUAAAAAUUUUAAUUGGCGCGUAACCGCAACGAUGCAACGCAAUAACUGCAACGCGGUCUUCUUUAAGCGUCCACUCCAUAUUUAAAAAUGAGUAAAAUUCUAAAAAUAUACAUUUUUAUUUUCAUGAACAAUUCGAAAUUCGAAUUCAAUAAACUUUUUUGUGGCCAGCAUUCUAAAAGAAAAGUUUUUACUGUGUGACAAUACUUAUGACCUGACUAGUUAUAAUGGACCUCUUUCAGAACUGUUCAAUAGCGGCAAAUUGACUUAACGUAAAACAGACUUAACUAAACUAGUGAUGAGAAAUAAUAUGGAGAUUUUAAGACUACAUAGUCUUUAAGUUGUUAACUAUACAGUUCUGAAUGUGGUAGAAUUGAUGAAAUCGCAUAAUUUAAGUAGUGUUAAAUACUCUUUAUUUAUCUUCAAGUCGAAUAUAUUUUUAAGUUUUACCUAAUUAUGUAUACCGUUGAUAUAAUAUACAUUAAAAACUUUUUUGUUUGUACAAUAAAACUAAAAGCUAAGUAUAAAUUAAAACACGAAUCGGAAAUAAUAUUUUUUUUAAUUUGUCUUAGAUUUUAUUGAUGUGUAUGUUCUUUUUUAAAGUUUUUGGUGAGCUGUUCUGCUAACUGGUUUCUAUUUAAAUUGUUCGAAUAACGCAGUCGUAUUUUGAAUCUACAAUAAUUUUAUUCGAACAUUUUGAAUUGGAAACGGUGAUUCGAACACAACAGUUAUAGCCUGUCGAAGUUUUUGUGUGACAAGAUCGUAUCAGAUUUGAAUUGCUAAUAACAGCGAUAUCGGUACUGCGUGGGUAAUGAUUUAGCUUACAACGGAUGUAUUAUGUCCACACGUGUUUGUUACUACCUCUACUAUCGUCGUACCAACGCAAACGCAUUUUAAAAAUUGUUACGUAGGCGGAAUGAACUGCCGCGUUCCGGGUAAUAAGAUGUCUAUCUAGGACUAGGACUAGUUUUUGAAUUGUGAUAAACGUUUUUAAUAAAUUUUAUAAUCUAUAAAUAUAAAUAAAUUUAAUAUUGAAAAUGGACAGUAAUUUGAGUAAUCAAUUCGUAGAUGUGUUCGGAAUUAAGUAAAAGCGAUCACUCGCAAACAUUACAAAAAGCGAAGUUUGCGGAAUAAACAUCAAAUUUUUUUUUUUUUUUUUUUAUGAUGAUGAAUGGUUCAUUAUAGAUAAAGAUAAUUGAGCGAAAUGAGCGAACGUUGGAUCGUGUAAAAUAAGUAGAAAUGCUUUUGUGGAAUGCAUAAUAAUUAAGUAGGUACAUAAUAAAAUGUUUUUUUUUUUUUUAAUGAAAUAUCAAUGUAUUUUAUUAAUAGAGAAGCAAUAUUAAUUAAUAAUAAAAAAAAAUUAAAAUAAUUGAGCGAUCUUCCGUGCAUUUUAAUAUAAGACUAAAUUGUGAUAUUAAGGGAUCGUGUAAUAAUGGAACAGUAGUAAUAAAAAACAUGAAAUCUGUAA